rnacentral:lncRNA from 1 species
ACUAAAGAAAUUGAUCGAGAGAGAGAGCAGCACAAACGAGAAGAAGCUAUCCAGAAUUUCAAGGCUCUUCUGUCUGACAUGGUACGUUCUUCAGAUGUGUCCUGGUCUGAUACUAGGAGGACCCUCCGGAAGGACCACCGUUGGGAGUCUGGUUCCUUAUUGGAAAGAGAGGAGAAAGAGAAACUCUUUAAUGAACAUAUUGAAGCGCUUACCAAAAAGAAAAGGGAGCACUUUAGGCAGCUUCUGGAUGAGACUUCCGCGAUUACCUUAACAUCCACGUGGAAAGAAGUGAAGAAAAUAAUUAAGGAAGAUCCUCGCUGCAUUAAGUUCUCCUCCAGUGACAGGAAAAAACAAAGGGAGUUUGAAGAAUACAUCAGAGACAAAUACAUCACUGCCAAAGCUGACUUCAGGACACUUUUGAAAGAGACCAAAUUCAUUACGUACAGGUAGGUGCAGUCCGGUGUCCCACUGGCAGCUCCUGUCUCCUAGCCUGAACUCUAAUGGCCAGAGCAUACUUGCACUCACACACAUGCUGACAUUGUUAAUUUUAGGAGGAGUCAGAAGAUGCCAGCUUUCCUCAAGGGCAGAUACAGGCCACUCCACAGUACCUUUUUUUUUUUUUUCUUUUAAAGAAAGGGCCCAGAUGUCAAUUCUCAUUUUGUGUUAUGUACAUCCAAUUUUUAAAAUACACUUUUAUUUUUACUUCACUGCUUUUUUUUUUCCUUUUUGAGGACCCUCAACUCUUUAAGAAUUGUAAUUCACAAAGAAACUUUAAUUCUUCACUAUAACUUAACUUUGCCUCCUCUGAAGACUGCUGAGUGGGGUUAGACAUGAAUGCCUGAAUUCAUCUUCUUAGGCAGAGAAAUAAUUUUCCUCCAUCAGAAAAGGAGUUGCUAUAUAUACUUAUUUUUUUUUUAAAGAUUAAAU